GUCUGUUGUGCUGGAUUACUGCAAAGUAGUUUAAUUUCCUUUGUAUUUUUUCAACUUUUUAUAUGUGUACAUAAUUAAAACUUUUGAACACAAAGCAGGUUAGCAGGUGAGGAUAAACUUCCUCCAAAACAGAGCAGAAUGAGCCGAAUGCAGCAGGCCCCUUCGAGGACAGGUGGUCCAGGAAUAUCUCGGUUCGCUUCUUGUCGGACUCCUGUCCCAGUAUUUCCUUGUACUCUCCCAGUGAGAAAACCUUGUCAUACACCAGCCCCGAAGAUAAUUUAGAACAACCAUGUCAGAAGGCUCCACAGUUAUUUUGGGUUGUGCUGACUGGCCUCGAAAUCACCAGGGACUUACAAAACAAGGAGUGCGAGAGUCAAAUCCUCUACCCAUCGAGGAAACCUGUGUAAAGUGAAUGAGACAUACUGUUAGGCUGAGUACGAUGGGAGGAACUCGCAACCCGCAGCUCAGCAACUCUCCUAACAACUCACCUUCCUGGAUAUUACUGUGAGAAUGUGACACCUGAUUAAAACAAGAUUAGAACAUUUCGUCACGGGCACUGACCCAUUACAUCCAGCGUUACUCCUGCUUAAGGAGAAGCAUUAACAUAUAAGGAGGAAAAGGGUGUUUCAAGGGGAGCUUAAUGUAUUUCAAUGAAAAUCUAUUAAAAAGAAAAGACUAAUGCAGCACAAACCAAUAUGACCUUGAAGUGGAUUUUAUCAAAGUGCUGUAAAAAUAAAUAAAUAAACGUCUUUACCAGAAGAGGGUGCUAUUUGAUCAGUGACUCCUGCACAUGUGGCCAUAAUAGGCUUUCAUUAAAUAUUCACCAGGACCAAAAACUGAACCGCUCCAAAAGUAAUACAUCACCAUAUUUGAGAAGUAUGAAUACAGAAACAGCUUGUUACAAAAGAUGAUACAAAACAGGGGCUGUGGCAGAGAUCAUUUUUACAGUGGUCAGGCUCAGAUCGUUACUCACAUCGGGGUGGAAUAGAAAAUGAGUUUUUCUUCUAUGUUGCGAAUUGCUGCAGGCUAAAUAAUCAUUUUUA